rnacentral:misc_RNA from 1 species
GGGGACUACAAGGGUUUCUAAUCCUGUUCGCUCCCCCAGCUUUCGCACUUCAGCGUCAGUUGCCGUCCAGUGAACUAUCUUCAUCAUCGGCAUUCCUGCACAUAUCUACGAAUUUCACCUCUACUCGUGCAGUUCCGUCCACCUCUCCAGCACUCUAGCCAAGCAGUUUCCAGGGCAGGCUUGCGGUUAAGCCGCAAGUUUUCACCCCAGACUUGUCUGGCCGCCUAGAUGCCCUUUAUGCCCAAUAAUUCCGGAUAACGCUUGCGACAUACGUAUUACCGCGGCUGCUG